AGUGAACGCUGGCGGUAGGCCUAACACAUGCAAGUCGAACGGCAGCACAGUAAGAGCUUGCUCUUACGGGUGGCGAGUGGCGGACGGGUGAGGAAUACAUCGGAAUCUACUUUUUCGUGGGGGAUAACGUAGGGAAACUUACGCUAAUACCGCAUACGACCUACGGGUGAAAGCAGGGGAUCUUCGGACCUUGCCCGAUUGAAUGAGCCGAUGUCGGAUUAGCUAGUUGGCGGGGUAAAGGCCCACCAAGGCGACGAUCCGUAGCUGGUCGGAGAGGAUGAUCAGCCACACGGGAACUGAGACACGGGCCAGACUCCUACGGGAGGCAGCAGUGGGGAAUAUUGGACAAUGGGCGCAAGCCUGAUCCAGCCAUACCGCGUGGGUGAAGAAGGCCUUCGGGUUGUAAAGCCCUUUUGUUGGGAAAGAAAAGCAGCAGGUUAAUACCCCGCUGUUCUGACGGUACCCAAAGAAUAAGCACCGGCUAACUUCGUG
rnacentral:rRNA from 1 species